GACGAACGCUGGCGGCGUGCCUAAUACAUGCAAGUAGAACGCAGUUGCGAACGGGUGAGUAACGCGUAGGUAACUGCCUCAUAGCGGGGGAUAACUAUUGGAAACGAUAGCUAAUACCGCAUACUGUGAGAUGGACCUGCGUUGUAUUAGCUAGUUGGUGAGGUAAAGGCUCACCACGGGGACGAUACAUAGCCGACCUGAGAGGGGGAUCGGCCAACCUGGGACUGAGACACGGCACAGACUCCUGCGGGAGGGAGCAGUAGGGAAUCUUCGGCAAUGGACGGAAAUCUGGCCGAGCAACGCCGCGUGAAUGAAGAAGGUUUUCGGGUCGUAAAGAUCUGUUGUGAGAGAAGCGUUAGCUAACCAGAAAGGGACGGCUAACUACGUGCCAGCCGCCGCGGUAAUAC
rnacentral:rRNA from 1 species